rnacentral:rRNA from 1 species
GUGAGUCAUCGAGUCUUUGAACGCACCUUGCGCUCCUUGGUAUUCCGAGGAGCAUGCCUGUUUGAGUGUCAUUAAUAUAUCAACCUCUUCAGCUUUUGGUUGUUGAGUGUUUGGAUGUGGGGGGGUUGUUUGCUGGUCUCUAGGAGGUCAGCUCCCCUAAAAUGCAUUCAGCGAAACAAUUUGUUUGAUCGUUCAUUGGUGUGAUAACUAUCUACGCUAUUGACGUGAGGCAGUUUAGCUUCUAAUCAGUCCAUUGUCUGGACAAUUUUUUCAUUAAUGUGUACCUCAAAUUUCAGGUAGGACUACCCGCUGAACUAAGCAUAUCCAAUUAAGCGGAGG